GUUUGUAAGUUUACCGAUGACAAAUGGCAGAUAGAUGCAGUUACAGUGCGGAGUUGGAACAAAAUAGGAGUGUGAGAAAAGAGUGAAAACAGAAUGGCUACCCCAGUCUUCCAUCGCAUGUGAUACCCAGGCUACCCUGCUACUGGGACAAGUGCUAUAUAAAUAGUGAAAACAGAAUGGCUACCCCACUCUUGCAAGACAACGAAUGUCACAUGCACAGGGCUGGAGGCAGCAGUCAAACAGUAAUGAGAUGGAAUACAAGCCAACAGCAGGUGCCAUGAUAUGAGUGAAAACAGAAUGGCUACCCCACUCUUCCAAGACGACGAAUGUCACGUGCACAGGGCUUGGACUGUGUGUCUUGAUUGGCAUGAAGAGCAUUCUGAAGCAUUCUUCCAUCUUGAGUGGCCCGCAGAAUCCUAACCCAGCUUUCAAAAACAGAGAACAUUUCUGGGAAUGUUUGGAGAAAUGAGUGAAACAUCUGCAGAGCAAUCCAACCAAUCGGGCCAACCUGCAGGAUUUGGUGCUAGAAGAGUGGAUGAAAACUGAUGUCACCUGCGUCUGCAAAGUGGUGGUGUCCAAGUCAGACAGAAUCGCAGCUGCCAUUUGGCAUUAAGGAGAAGCUACGUAUUGUUAGGAUGUAAAGCCGCUAAUCUUUUGAGAUCAAAUCAAAUCAAAAAUGGAUCUGCAGUAAUCCUGAAAAUGGGCCAAAGAGCCUCACCACCAUGUCUUGAAGGCUGCACCAUCUUGGCUGGAGAGAAGGAAACAUUUGUUAAAAAGCAGUCUGCUGAAGACUUUCAUCCUCUGCUCGCCCUUCUCAACUUAAUCUAGCAAACAGCCCUCCACCAGGCAUUGAUAAGAGAAACUGCCCAGUGAGGGAAACCGACACAACUUCUUCCAGACCUUGGGCCAUAAAAGCAAGACCGCCUGGAAGGAGGCAUCACUUCUGCUUCAGGAGACCUAAGGAGAAGACCGACUCAGCUGUGGAAUGGCCAAUAGGGGGAGGCAGCUUGAUGGCCGAGGUCUCCAGGACUCUGA